rnacentral:tRNA from 1 species
GCCUGGGUGGCUCAGUCGGUUGAGCGUCCGACUUCGGCUCAGGUCAUGAUCUCACAGUCUGUGGGUUCGAGCCCUGCGUCGGGCU